CCCUCCAGCUGUCUUGUCUUGUCAAUUUGCCAUUCCUCCACGGGCAGGCCGCAGGGGAAAUAUCUCAUUUGACAAAACUUGUAUCGAAUUUCCGUGAAAGUGAAAGAUCACUCAGAACAGGAAAUCGCGUGACUGAAGCUCUUGAGAAUGGCGAAUGGGCAUUUCUUUCCUUUUCCUUAUAAGGAACAGAUGCCUUUCAGGGAAAGACAUUCUUGUCGAAGGGUGCAUAUUGGCAGUUUGGUGGUGUUGAUGGAAUGAUGGGCGACUGAAAGUAUUUAUCACGUACGUGGAAGGAAUCUGAUGUCGCUUCAGGUUCAGUGACUCCACUCUUGUCUUACCUUUUUGAAUUGCAAGUAAUGAUUCUUUACUAUUCUUCGCAGUAUAUAACAUUGUUUUUCAUUUGGUUAAACAAAGUUGUCAGCUACAGCUCUAUAUAUAUCUCCUUGUUUUCUUUGACCAAAUCCACAAAUAAGAUGCAAGGGAGGUUCUAUGGGUUUAACUGAACCAAUUGUUUUCAGCUCGAACUAGGUAUAUAUAAGAAGAAGAAAGACAUUUAAAGUCUAUACAUAUAAUAAGAUUACACUCAUUGUGAACUCAAUAAUUCUAGAUCCUGAAUUUGCCUCCGACUCUCGACCAAUCUAAUUAAUAGCAGCUAAAGAAAAAGAUGUUGGUUUUACACAUUUGUGGGUCCAGAAUGCAAGUUCGCUUUCUAAUCUACAGGAAAGGCACCAUGCAUUAUAUUCCUCUGCACUAUAAGUUCCUGAAACACUUACACACCUUACAAUAGGUACAAGAAUUGAUCCACCAAAGACUUUUUCUUAUGCACACAUAUUCUUUAUCUGGCAAAGUUUGGGAAUCAUAUUCCAAGAACUAAUAGUGGAAUAUUUUUUUGUCCUGAUGGAGACUGGCGGAAUCCACUAUCUAUGAUGUCUUGAAAACUACAAAACCAUCUUCGUUUUCGAAUGGAAGAUUCUAUUGACUGGAGCAUCUAGUACUGGGAAUUAGAUACAUGCAAGAAAAAAGGCAAAAAGGGAAAAUGGAUGAAGAAAUAAAAAUAACCAGAAAUAGUGGAGAGAUGCUUCUUCGCUUGGUCUGAAGGCUAGGAAUCGAAUGAAGAAUACUUUCUUGUGGUCUCCUUCAGUAAAUUUGGUACUUAUUCAGCCUAAAAUAGAGAAAAGAGGACCUCCAGCUAAAAGUUUUCUAUUCUUUUAUUGGUAUGAAAUGGCCAUCUCCAAAGCAUUGGGACCCCUUUCAAAAGAAUAAAUAAAUCAAUACUUGUCUGAUGGAAAACAUGACAACUCGCAACUGAAGAUCCCUAUUUACCUUUCCCUUGACUUAAAUCUUAAUUGGUUUUGGAGGUACACUUAAUGAAUCUAUAUAUCCUGGUCUUACAAGAUAACUUUUAUGCCCGUUUAUGGGUUGAAAUGUGCCCAUACGCCACAUAAAGAUACAGUUCACUUUGUUUUUAAUCAUAGUUCUAUUUUCUUGGACAAGCUUGAGAAUCUUCAUUUAUCUCCUCAUAUGUUGAAUGACUAGUUUUCUUCUUAAAAGAAACAUCCUUAUAUUGUGAAACUCUUUUUGCCCUUCUCUUUUAGGAGUUUCUGUUAAGUUUGUAUAGGAAAAAUCAGGGAACUCGUACUAAGCUGUUUCUGAAAUGUUUAGCCUAUUUUGCACCUCUGCCUCGUUUACUUUGUUUUACUAAGUGUAUAUCUGCCUUUUCAUGUUUACUCAUAGGAAUAUAUUAGGAACCAUUACAAUGAAUAAAAACGAGUGUAGUGCACAUAUAUAUAUGCAGCUGUUUAGUAUAAAUUGAGCUGUGUAGCAUUUCAAUCUACUGUAUAGAUAUAGACGAUUACAUUGGAUAAUAUUUUCAAAGGAGAAUCUUGUUACUGUUAUCAAGGAAUUGAUCCUGGAGAUUAUUUAUACUUUGAAUAUUAUCUUGGAUCAGUCCUUCAAGUUUCAUUUAAUGGCUAUGAUAUGUUAGUUGAAAAGCAUGCCACACCCUUCAUUUCAUGUUUUGGCUAAUGGAUUAUAACCUGGAUAUUAACACAGCCUAUUAAAAUAAGCAAAGAAUAUUAUCAACUGAUGAACAGCCAAUGCAGAAUAAAUUCGCAUUCUAAGCAUUGGAACCUAGGUCUACAUUUUGGCUAUUGAGAAUACUAGUUGAAAUCUGCAGCUGUUGAACAAAAUGAGGUUAUUGCAUUGCAAAAUUAAGAAAUGCUAGGUGCCAAAAGGAAAAAGAAAAAUUGACAUUAUUAUUGGUUAGGCUUAUGUUUUCUAUGUUUAAUUAGGUACAAAUUUGAUUCAAAAAUUAAGUGAAAAUUCCUCAUCUUUGACAAUGAUAUGCACAUUAGUUUCAGUUGAAGUUUUGCAGAAAAAAGAAUCAGGUGACUCUGAUAUGUUAGAAUAUUUUAUGGAGUUUGGAGGAAUGCAUUUUGUAUGCAGUUUAAAGGAAUCUGUUACAACCUUUAUAUAGUUGAAGUGGUAAAUAGAAUCUCAAAUGUUUUGCUGGCAUAAGGGUAGUUGUAGCAGCUGCUAGCUCUCAUAUGCUAAAUACUUUCUCUGAUGGCUUGCUCCACAUCAUUGAUCAAUAUGAAAGUUUUCAAGUAUUUUAAUGUUCUUUCAUUGAGAUAUAACCAGAUUCAUUUUUGCUUAUGAGUGUGGUACUUAAUAGUAAUAUAUAUUGGAAUUUGUGCAUUUUAAUCCUGCUAACAUAGGUAUCGAGUAAAUCUCUUCACAAAGACUUUGACAUAUGAUUGUUUUUAAGUACUCUUAAUUU